UUUCUCUUCCUAUUCAUCGGCUUUCUAUGUCUAGUCGUGGUUCCUUUCUCCCAUUCAUCUGUUGAUGUCUGGUUGAGUCUCUCCCUAUUCGUCCGUUGACGUCUAGUCAUGGUUUCUCUUCCUAUUCAUCGGCUUUCGAUGUCUAGUCGUGGUUCCUUUCUCCCAUUCAUCAGUUGAUGUCUGGUUGAGUCUCUCCUAUUCGUCCGUUGACGUCUAGUCAUGGUUUC
rnacentral:lncRNA from 1 species